ACUAUGUCAGCCAUAAUAUUUCUAGGUUCAUAUAGAGGCAAGGAUAAGAGCCGUAGUAUGAUUAGAGAGGAAAGAAAAGGCUUCCAUGAAAAUACAAUGUAAUGCAUAUUCAUCAAGAAGUAACAUAAUUAAAAUCACUACAUUAGAUCAUAGUAUGAUGAACCAUUUAUGCCGAGAUACACGCGGAGCAACACAUAGAUGAAAGUCAAAUCUAACAAUAUAGGAAUGAUCAGAUCUCCACCCAAAGCAGGAUUUGGUACAUUUGGUCCCGAAGGAAAUCCCAGAUUAACCAGUGUGGUGUGGUAGAUAGUUGUUUACAUGAACUGACAGAAGUAUACCAAGUAACAAAGUUAGUUAUUUACAGCCAAAGUUCAAUGCCUCCAAACCAAAGCUUAACUCCUAACAGGAAAUGUCUCCAAAUAUUGUGGCCAAACCUUAACUCCUAACAGGAAAUGUCUCCAAAUAUUGUGGCCAAACCUUGGAACCUAAAAAAAUGGAGAGAAAAACGAAAUCAGGAAAUGCAACAGACAGGAAGUCACAUAGGAUAAAACUAUCUCAUUGCACCUGACAUAUACAGUACUGCUAAGAAAUUUCAUUAUCAGUUAUUUUGUAGAUUUUUUAAUAGAAUUAGCUCACUGAUGAGAGCCAACUGAAACUUUGCUGAAAUACAAUUUGAUGUGAUAAACUUUUUUACAAUAGUUAAAGUCGAAUGUGCAUAUAUACUUAAGCAUGUACUGUGUCAAAUAUAUAUCUUCAGAACCGGAGAAUCAGCAUGCAUGUCAUCUGCUAUUUUUCUAAUAAAAAUGUUUCCGUACCAUCCAUCGUCUCAACCUUCUGAAUCCAACUAAUCCAAGCUCGCCAUCGCCAUCAAUGGCACAUCCAGCUCAUGAAAGGAUAAAUAGCAAUAAAACAUUUAUGCACCACUCGUGUGUGUGUGUGUACAUAACAAUGGAAUAGAAAACAAUGAAAAUGUCUCAUUCAUCUGCUUCCUACUGAACCAAAGUGUGCUCCUCCGAGAAACAAUCACCAAAAUAACAUUUAAAAUUAGUAAAGGAUAAUGCUACAAUUUUCAGAUUGUCGGCAGAGAGGUUAGAGCUAUCAUCGUGACAAUGUAUUGCCAGAUAAAUCAACUACUUAAGUGUAAUUAUAUAACUUCUAUUUCAUUACCCCAAAAAAAUAGUAUAGCAAAAAGGCAUGGAUUCAAAAACUUCUCCAAAAUCAUCUACUGGAAAAAUAAAUCAGAAAGACAAUGUCUGUCAUAUAUACACACAGGGGGGUCUAGAAGAAGAAAAAUCGGAUCAUCUGUAGGUGAUAUACCUUUGCAGAAGGACAACCUUAGAGGUACACUAAGUAGACUUCAAAGUGUGUAAACUGAUCUAAUAGGUGAAAGUUUAAUUCAACAAAUAUGGCAAUCACUAACUGCCCUAUAGUCAAGAGAUUGUAUCACUAAGCUGCCCCUUCUAAGCAAUAAUGGUAGCAGUUGCUUGCAGGGUGAGAAAGGUUAACUUUCCGAUAAGCAGACAUUCUUGAUUAUGAUCAAAACAAUAGCCUUGUUAUAUUACCUGGCGAUAUUGGGUGACUGAAACUUAAAGUCCACUAAGAAGUAAACAUCACAGGUUGCAGAACAGGACCAGGCUUGAAUUUCCAAACGUUUAUCAAAUGAUCUAAAAGUCCACUUUGAGACGCUAUCGUCUGCAGCAGAGCAGUAUAGUCAGAAGCAAAAAAACGCAACUAAGCAAUCAUGAAGGGAAAAAGACCAGAGUACUCCAGAGAACUGCCAAUAUUACUAAUUAAUACUGAAGCUAAAGAAGCACCCUCUAGAUUGACUAUAGUCAGAUUAACAAAGUUGAUAAGUAGACUUUCAUCGACUAACAAUAUACAGUAUUUAUUAGAACAAAGAUAAAGAAGUUACCACGCUUGUUAUAGAAGGAUAGAAGUUCUCACAUUACUUGAAAACAAAGAGGCAGAUCUACACUGCUUAUUAUGGUGGUGCAGAAGUGCCAGUUAAUCAGAUAAAAAAAUAUGUAUCAGAACUGUUAUAGCUUUAUAAGACGAAAUUGGAUGACACUUCCUUCAGUAUUUACUGUGCCAAAAUAUUUACUCUGACCUCGAAUGGCACUCACGAAGAAAUCUUGAACUAUGAAACCAUGUGAGCAUGGUCUAUGUUACCGUAAAGGACAAAGAAUAAAAAAUAUACAAAAAGGAAAUGACAUUUGUACAGUAAGGAAAACUAACCAUGAAUAGAUGAACCUUAAGGCACACAAUGGGAAUAAGACAGGAGUUUGUUCAGUAGAUUUACCAUUGGGCAAAAAUGUUAUUAGUAGGCUUAAGACACACGCAUGAGGCAUAACAGAUAAUGAAUGCCAGAACAUGGCAUCAUAAAAAAUGCACAGAAUAGGCCGAGCCCUGACUCAGGUAACAAAGAACAUGGGAUAUAUUAUUCUCCCUCUUUAUGCCAGAUUGUUAGUCCAGCAUCCAGUAUUGCUGCUAGCUUUGGAAAAGUGAACUCAAGAAAACUUUCUGAGUACAAAGCAGAAGAUCUUGCAGCAGCUCCAGUCAACUCUUUCACGUACAAUACUGGGUAGGUACUUUCUCCAGACAUUCGAACUACCAUGCGCCACUAUGAAGUACUCUCUAGUGUGCAUAUAUUUCUUCUCAAGAUAGCCUACUUUGUGGCUAAUUUAUCAGGCCAAAAUAGUGUAGACUGGCCCUAUAUCGGCAAGGUGAUGAUGAUAGCAGUUGUGGUUGCAGACACACAUGAAAGAUAUGUCUUUUUCAAAAUGACAGAACCGAAUUUAGAUGUGCAUGAGAUCAGGCAUACCUCACAUGGAGCAUGGGUGGUCCAUUGAUGUUGGUAGAACGGCGAGAUUGUACGACAGCUUAUGGAAUACGGGCAGCCUGCGGAGUUGGUAGAACGGUGAGACUGUAUAGAGCUAUGUUCGAAACUUGCGGCAUGACGAUGAGCCAAAUAGCUGCAGAUUAUCCCAGAGAGUUAGAACACACACAAAACACAAAAUUAUUUAACCUUGCAAUUAGAAUCCAAAGGGUUCAGUGAUGUCUUUUCCCUUGAUGAUAGAUUCAAAAUAUCUGGAUAUAAAUUGGGCACUAUUUAUUAUUAGAUAUAGAUUGAUUGAUGAGAUUGUAGCAAUAACAACAACAAGCAGUAGCAAGCUACAUCUCUGUUCUCUAUCUAAAUGUGCAUCAAUUAGUAGCAUCAUACAUCUAUCUAAAUGUGCAGCAAUCAGUGUCCCUCCCUCCCUCUCUAUCAUCUCUCUGCUUUCUCUCUCUUCCUCAUCUAUCUCUCUUAUUUUUCUCCACAAGAGCAGAUCAGCAUCGAACUCUGUCUCUCCUCUGUUCUCUACCAGCAGCAACCAGCAGCAGAUCCAGCAAGCCCUCAAUCUAAAUAUGUGGCAAUUAGCGUCUCUCUCUGCUCUUUAUCGCUCAUCUCUCUGCUCUCUCUCUUCCUCACCUAUCUCUAUCUCUCAAGCAGCAGCGGCCAGCAUGCCCUCUGCUCUCUCCCUAAAGCAGAAGCUCAUCCCUUCAAGUGCCUCCCCACCUUCAGCCACGGCGCCGCUGCCGCCGCCCCUGUAUCCACUCAUCGAUGGCGCCAUCUCUCCCUCCCUUAGAUUCUCAAAUUGCUUGGAUGUGAAAGAAAAUGGAGGGAGGGAUGAACCUGCGCUGGUCGCUGACGCCAGGACAGCACCUCCUUCGCGUCGCCCGUCAAACCACUGCCCCGGCCCCGACGCCGUGCUACCGCUCCCGCGCCCCGGCGAGGCGGCCUCCAUCCUUCCAAGCAAGCACGCC
rnacentral:lncRNA from 1 species